UACGAAGGGGGCUAGCGUUGCUCGGAAUCACUGGGCGUAAAGCGCACGUAGGCGGAUCUUUAAGUCAGGGGUGAAAUCCUGGAGCUCAACUGCGGAACUGCAUCGGAUACUCUCCGGCUAGAGGAAUGGAGGGGAGACUGGAAUACUUGGUGUAGCAGUGAAAUGCGUAGAUAUCAAGUGGAACACCAGUGGCGAAGGCGAGUCUCUGGACGAUUCCUGACACUGAGGCACGAAAGCCAGGGGAGCAAACGGG
rnacentral:rRNA from 1 species